GGCGAGCUGGGACGGCGGUCACUCUCCAGGGCCCUCGCGUUGGCACCAGCACAGCUGCAGUGACUCCUCGAUUGGUCCCGAGCGGGAUGGCAUCGUCGCCAGGCUGUUGCAGACAGCUAAGGGUGAGAUUCGGCCCGAGGAAGCUGUGGGGAGCGGCUGAGUCUCCGAAGAGCAGCAGUGGCUGUUGACUGCUGGACUGAGUGUUACCUGUGUCUUCUUUGACUGGGUGCAGGUCCGGGUCCCUGCUUUGACGGCAGCGCCAGGUCCUGGGAAACCUGCGCCCCUGCCCCAGAAAGCUGGUCGCGCUCUCGGACUUGUGGAGCAGUCGCAGCCCAGGAAGAAAAGUCGAAGACUUGAGGGGGCAACAGCGCAGGGACCACUGUGGCGCCCCGGGGGCCUGCGGUUCCCAGGGCCGCUCCCACCCGCCCCUAGCAACGGCCCACCGGCCCACCCUAGGGACAGCGAGUUCGAGGCCAGCCUGGGCUACUUAGCGAGUUGCUGCCUCAAAAAAAGAGGCCAGGUUGGAGGAGGUCACAGUGACAGUGACGAGGCAGAAGGCGAAGGGAGAGCAACCUCCCCCACGGCUGUGCCCCAAAAGACUGAAACUGGCAGUGCCAGCCUGGCGUGGUGGUGCAUGCCUGUCAUUCCGGCACUCUGGAAGGCUGAAGCAGGAGGAUGGCAAGUUGUAGACCAGCCCAGUACCAGGGGGAGAGAGAGAAAGAAAGAGAAAGAGAGAAAGGAGCUCCACAAACAUGCGUUCACACAAGUUCACAGCAGCGCUCUUCACGGGAGCCCCGAGGUGGCAGCAGCUCACCUGUCCAUCGGGAAGGGGUCCAGCUAAUCGAUGCAGACGGAAUGGUGGGGAAGAUGACCACCCAGGGACUUCCAGCUGGCCUGGGUGCUGAGCAUCAACGGCUGCUGGUGUGACACUUGGAAGCCACUAGACAUCAUGGCCUCCUGGGCAGAAUGCAUGUUCUGCGAGGAUCGAACUUCGGACCUUGCACUUGCGAGGCAGUUGCCGGAACCACUGAGCUAAAUCCCUGGUCCUUACGUCACAGUUUUGUAAUCAUCAGAAUCUAGAUGUGGCUAAUCUGUAAUAUCCAUGGUGUGGCUACUUUGAUGACCAAUUGUCAAAAAAAAAAAAGGUAAAAGGUAAAAGGUGAAGCUUGCAUUAAAGGGGAUUUCAGGACAUCAACCAAUCACAAUGUGGUCAUCUCAUGUAGCUCUUGAGUUUGUGAAACUGAAU
rnacentral:lncRNA from 1 species